GGAGAGAUGCUCGAGUGGUUGAAGAGGCACGCCUGGAAAGCGUGUAUACGCCAAAAGCGUAUCGCGGGUUCGAAUCCCGCUCUCUCCG
rnacentral:tRNA from 1 species